UACGUAGGUGGCAAGCAUUGUCCGGAAUUAUUGGGCGUAAAGCGCGCGCAGGCGGUCCUUUAAGUCUGAUGUGAAAGCCCACGGCUCAACCGUGGAGGGUCAUUGGAAACUGGGGGACUUGAGUGCAGAAGAGGAGAGUGGAAUUCCACGUGUAGCGGUGAAAUGCGUAGAGAUGUGGAGGAACACCAGUGGCGAAGGCGACUCUCUGGUCUGUAACUGACGCUGAGGCGCGAAAGCGUGGGGAGCAAACAGG
rnacentral:rRNA from 1 species